rnacentral:rRNA from 1 species
AUUGAACGCUGGCGGCAUGCCUUACACAUGCAAGUCGAACGGCAGCGGGGGAGAAGCUUGCUUUUCCUGCCGGCGAGUGGCGAACGGGUGAGUAAUACAUCGGAACGUGCCCUGGAGGGGGGGAUAACUAGUCGAAAGAUUAGCUAAUACCGCAUACGACCUGAGGGUGAAAGUGGGGGACCGUAAGGCCUCAUGCUAUAGGAGCGGCCGAUGUCUGAUUAGCUAGUUGGUGGGGUAAAGGCCUACCAAGGCGACGAUCAGUAGCUGGUCUGAGAGGACGAUCAGCCACACUGGGACUGAGACACGGCCCAGACUCCUACGGGAGGCAGCAGCGGGGAAUUUUGGACAAUGGGCGAAAGCCUGAUCCAGCAAUGCCGCGUGUGAAGAAGGCCUUCGGGUUGUAAAGCACUUUUGUCCGGAAAGAAAUGGCUCUGGUUAAUACCUGGGGUCGAUGACGGUACCGGAAGAAUAAGGACCGGCUAACUACGUGCCAGCAGCCGCCGUAA